rnacentral:rRNA from 1 species
ACACAUGCAAGUCGAGGGGCAGCGCGGGAUAGCAAUAUCCUGGCGGCGACCGGCGGAAGGGUGCGUAACGCGUGAGCGACAUGCCCGUUGCCCGGGGACAACCGGUGGAAACGCCGACUAAUCCUCGAUGGGAUACGAUGCUUCAUGGCAUUGUAUUGAAAGUUACGGCGGCGACGGAUUGGCUCGCGUCCGAUUAGCUUGUUGGCGGGGUAACGGCCCACCAAGGCUACGAUCGGUAGGGGUUCUGAGAGGAAGGCCCCCCACAAUGGGACUGAGACACGGCCCAUACUCCUACGGGAGGCAGCAGUGAGGAAUAUUGGUCAAUGGGCGGAAGCCUGAACCAGCCAUGCCGCGUGCGGGAAGGAGGCCCUAUGGGCUGUGAACCGCUUUUGCCUGGGGGCAAUAAGGGCGUCGCGCACGCCCGAUGAGAGUACCAGGCGAAUAAGCAUCGGCUAACUCCGUGCCAGCAGCCGCGGUAAUACGGGGGAUGCGAGCGUUAUCCGGAUUCAUUGGGUUUAAAGGGUGCGUAGGCUGUGCGUC